rnacentral:rRNA from 1 species
GCGACCUCAGCUCAGGCGGGGCCACCCGCUGAGUUUAA